AUGCCAGUGGGUGACACUGGAGACAUGAGAGAUGGCAAUAUUUGGGUUAUGCCGGCAGAGGGUGGUGGCCUUGGUUUACUAUUCCUGAGAGGUAUUUGUGCCCAAUUAUGGAAGAGGAAGACCGAUUGCAAGGGUGUUGCCUCAUGGGUGCUGGGAAGAACUGUUGAAUUGGACAAGCUACUUUCCCUGAAUUCAGAGAUGGAAAGAAAGCACCCAAGGAUACUCGGGUUUGUUGAGGACAAUAAUGUGGUGUUGUUGUGGACAUCUGUUGGCAUCUUCACGGUCCAGUUUGAAUCAUGGCUGUUCAAGAAAGUUUUCGAAUCUAGCGCCUGGUAUCUCCAUUUUCCAUUCGAAGGUGUCUAUACUGCAGGCAAUGGUGGUGGACCCUCUGAAGCUAAACUUUUGUACAAUACAUAA
rnacentral:rRNA from 1 species